rnacentral:tRNA from 1 species
GCGGGCGUGGCCGAAUUUGGCAUAGGCGCUGGACUUAGGAUCCAGUGGUGGCAACACCGUGAGGGUUCAAGUCCCUCCGCCCGCACCA